UUUUUUUGUUUUUUUUUUUUUCCCCAGCGGUAAAGAGCCUUAAUUUGCUAAACUUUGAAACGAUGGCAUUUUGUCAGACUAAAAGACUUCGUGUAGGUGUACACAGAAUGUCAAGGAUGAGUCAAAGAUUAAUACCUAGAGCAAAGAGUAUGAUGGGAAUUUUAUGCCUCUGCCUUGGAAAUCAUGUUGGGGAAAGGCAAGUAUUGACUGAUUAGAGAGUGCUACUUAUAUUGGCUUGUAAUUUGAUCAGAUGGAUUACGCCCAGUUCCAAGUAUGGAGAAAGACUGAAGCCAUGCAUUUAAAUAGUUCUGCAAAUUCUGUCAAGCAUGGAGCGUAUCCAUUGGCAGGGGAGCGCCAGCUAUGUAAAAGGUCUCAAAAGUCUGGGAGUUCCUUUAUCUCAGGAUGCAUCACACCGUGAUCAUAAUAAGAAUUUUCCAAAUGCCCAAAUCAUGCUAUAAUUGGAGUUCCAGUAAUCUCAAAAGUGAUCUACCAGCAGAAUGAUGUUUUUUAAAUUAAAUUCUUUAUAAGUAUAUGCAUUUUUGGUAUUCAGUAGCUGCUCGUUAAGUUCUUCAAGUUACCUCGGGUCACUGUGGAUGGGAUGAAAGAACUGCAAGACUCCCUCUGUCCUUGAAGAUCUGAAACAUUCAAUAAAAACAAUUAGACUUGUGUCCCUAGGGAAAAUAUCUUGAUGAUACAAUAAAAUGGCACUAAAAAUGAGAAAAAUCUGUAAAGCCACAAAGCUCAAGGUUCUAAAGAUUGCGUGACAGCAGGCAUAUUGGGAGGGUAAAGGAGCUACACGUGGUUGACUAUCUGUGCAAUAGUUUAAAGAAAUCAUUAUGUCUGUUUAAGGACAUAGAAUCUUGGCCUGAGAAGUAUUAUUGUCACGUAAUUCCUUUAAUUUAGAGCCUGGGCAUAAUUAUGUGCUCAUGACAAUUCUUGCUAUGGGGUAGAUAAAAACAUGGUUGCUUGUCUCACCUGAACACAUUAAUUUUGCAAAGAGAGUUCCCGUCGUGGCGCAGUGGUUAACGAUCGGGCGUUGCCCUGAGCUGUGGUGUAGGUUGCAGACGCGGCUUGGGUCCCGAGUUGCUGUGGCUCUGGCGUAGGCCGGUGGCUACAGCUCCGAUUCGACCCCUAGCCUGGGAACCUCCAUAUGCCGCAGGAGUGGCCCAAGAAAUAGCAAAAAGACAAAAAAAAAAAAAAAAAAAAAAGAAAAUGUAAAGGGAGCCCAUUUGGUAAUAUCCACCCCGAGCCGUGUCUGUUCCCUGGUGUUUUAGGAGGGUGGCUGCCUUUAGAAGGAAGUAGGCUAUUGCAGAUGGAAGAGAGUUGACUGUGUGAUAGACUUCGUGUGUGCUCCCAUGGGCUCGGCUUUCAAAAAACCUCAUUUCAUUUUCAGGAGACUCCUGUUGGGUGGUUGAUGGAUCAGACUUUGACAGACUGAAACAAUAAAUUGAGGCUCACAGAGAUAAAGUUAUUUGCCUAAAAUGACACAAAGGAGAAUUUCAAAGUCAGUUGUUUUCUAAAGAGCAGUUUUUGUUUGUUUUUUUAUACUAUUGUGCCAACAAACCCGGUUUUUUAACCUAAAUUCCCUAAAGGAGGCGAUGUUUGCUACCUAGAUGAUGGAGCAUUUGGCUACUUGAUUGAAAGGCAAUGAAUCUACUUUCAAAGAAAUCCACAAGUGGUUCGGGGUUCUCACUUUAACACCUUUCUUUGGGUCUUCAAUAUCAAGGUUUAGGAAUUAGGAAUGUGGCCCCUGAUUCAGAUUUUGGCUCAGCCGCUUACCAGCUCUGUGACCUUGAGCAAGUAAACCAACCUUUUUAUUAGACCUCUUUUUCCUUUUUAUGAAAACAAUUAGCAAUAACUCCCACAACAUCCAUUUGAGGUUGGAACUAAGUGGGCCAUGCUCACGAAAUGCUUAGAACAGUACCAGGCAUGUGGCAAAGGGUCAGUCAAUAUUAGCUGUUAUUAUCCUCAUUGUUCUCAAUUUUUUUUUUUUUUAGGGCCGCAUAUUGAAAUUCCCAGGCUAGGGGUUGAAUCAGAGCUGCAGCUGCCUGCCUACACCACAGCCAGAGCAAACACGGGAUCCUUAACCCCCUGAGCUAGGCCAGAGGUCAAACUGGCAUCCCCUCGGAUACUACGUCCGGUUCUUAACCUGCUGAGUCACAACGGGAACUCCAUGAUUCUCAAAUUUUGAUCUCUUAACCAACCAGCGGUCCCAAGCUGCAGACUCAUAUAUCCUCCUGAUGCUGCUGGUGAGAAUGUUUUCCUGGAUAGUUGCAGACCUCUCCAGCCUCUCAUGUGCAAAAUAGAGCUCACCAUUGACAAGUUAAAACAAAUAGCUGGGUGCAGGGAGUGGUGAGCAAGCCCUGAGUAAAUGUUAGUGGUUAUUGUUACGAAGCCCCGAGCUAGUCUCUCCUGAAUUCUUCUCUUCCUAAAGGGCACAUCAUCAUCCAGAGAAGCUCAUCCAGAAAGCUGAGUGUUGUCCCAAAUUCCCGAAUUUUCUCCUUCCAGCAAGAUCCAGCCAGUCCCUGCCUCCAUUCAAUUUUUUUCCCCUCGCAAGUAGCGUUUAUGCCUUCAGUUCCCAAUGCCUCAUCGUUUUGGCUUUAGUUUAUUUGAACGGGUUUCUAACGAUCUCUGGGAUACGGGGCAGGUCUCCCACAACUCACUCCCUUCAGUGAUGCUAAAGCGAAUCCUUACAAUUCACACUGAGCAUGUCAUUCACUUGCCCGAAAUCCUUCACUAACGUGCAUCCAGCCUGCAGGAUGUGCCUCUCCCUCCUUUCUGGCCGUGGUAAACAAAGCCACCUUCCGCCCCAGCCUUGCUUCCCGGAUGUACCAGAAGUGGCAGCCACACGGUCUUCGGAAAUUUUCCGUGCAUUUUCAUUCCUAAGUGCCAUUUAAAAAAAAAAAAAUUUAAUGAUUUUUUUCCCCAUUAUAGCUGGUUUACGGUGGUUUGUCAAUUUUCUACUGUGCAGCAAGGUGACCCAGUCACACAUACACAUAUACAUUCUUUUUUCUCACGUUAUCAUGCUCCACCAAAAGUGACUAGAUAUCCUAAGGUCCAUUGUAAACACUGUUUUUUAAAUCCAGAAUGGGUUUUCCUCAUCGCCAAGGAAAUAUUUUCAUCCCAAAGGCUGGGAAACAAUGAUUCUCUGAAUACAUUUUUAAAAUUUCAAGUGCAUAUCAUGAGUCUUUGGGGAGCUAAAGAUUUGCCGAUUAGUGGGUGAACAGAAUUCAACUAAGAUAGGCUUAGCAAAGAGGGCAGAAAUUGUUAUUGCUAAUGGCUUUUAUUUUUUAUUAAAUUAUUAUUAUUUUUGUCUUUUUAGGGCUGCACCUGCAGCAUAUGGAGAUUCCAGGCUAGGGGUCAAAUCAGAGUUGUAGCUGCUGGCCUCCACCACAGCCACAGAAACAGCAAAUCUGGACAGGAUCUGUGACCUUCACCACAGCUCACAGCAACACCUGAUUCUUAACCUACUGAGUGAGGCCAGGGAUGGAACCUGCCUCCUCAUGGAUGCUAGUCAGAUUUGUUUCCACUGAGCCAUGAUGGGAACUCCACUGAUGGCUUUUAAAGUAGAAAUGAGUAUCAACCUUUGGAUGCUGAGAAAAAUAUGAUCAAAGUCUUUUUCUCAAGGAAUUAUGAACCUAUGAAAAACCCAGACUGUAAACAUUACUGGCACCACUACCGUGGAAAAGGCAAUAGAGCUAUACAUUGAAUUGUCAGUCUCCUUAUGUCCUAGGUGUCUUGCAGAAUCUGAUGUUAGUUUUUACAUUGCUUACUGGCAUUGAUUCAAACACAUGCCUUUUUGUAUCAUCUUCAUAGAAAAUUAUUCCCUGAUCCCUCUCCAGGGUUUGAUCCUAAAAUGGCAGUUAACACAUCAACAGAAAAAUAAAAGAAAAAUUGUUUUAAAAAAUCUAGGAAGGGGUGAUUAUACCAAAAUAUUCAAGGAAGAGAAGCAAAGUUCUUAGCAUUCCAGGAAGUGGUUGAGAUAAAUAUUUUGCAUGCAAAAAUUCAAUAACAGAUCAUCUUUGCUAUGUCAAUGUCUUUUUAAAAAAAAAAAAAAAAACGGUCUCAUCCAUGACAUAUGGAAAUUCCUGGGCCAGGAAUCAAACCUGCACCUCUACAGUGACAUGGGUUGCUGCAGUUUGAUUCUUAACCCACUGCACCAUAGCAGGAACUCCCAAUCUGUCUUUAAUACACAGCUUGUAAAUGUAAACUUAGAAGAUUCUGAAAGGAAGCAUAUUUUGAAUGAUCUAUCUAAAACAGUCCCAAAUUAAGAAGUCAGUCUAAAACCUUCAAAACAGAACGAGUUUGGCCUUGCCUAGGAACAGUGAUCUUUGGUCAUUUCUUCUUCUUCUUCCAGGAUACACUCCAAACUCCCUAGUGUGACACCCAGGACCUCUGUAGUUUUCUCUUUCAGCAGUUGCCCGAUAUCAUUGCUUCUCCACGAACAUCACCCCUUCUAGUCAGACCAAAAUUGCUGGUUUCUUAAGGCAUCCGCUGCUUUCUCAGGCCUCCUUGCCUUUGUACAUGGUUGUCCUUCUGCCCAGUGUACUUUCCCUGUAUAAGUCUCUUUCAUCUUUCAAUACUCUGCACUAAUUACUAGAGAUUGACUUAAUAUCCUGCCUAGAUUUCCUUCUUGGAUAUUCUAUAAUACCAGUCUGUGUUUCUGUUGUACAUAUGCACUGGCUUGUAAUGGUGAUGAAGAUGGUGAUGAAGAUGACGGUGAUGAAGAUGAAGAUGAUGAUGGUGAUGAAGAUGGUGAUGAAGAUGAUGGUGGUGAUGAAGAUGAUGGUGGUGAUGAAGAUGAUGAAGAUGAAGAUGGUGAUGAAGAUGGUGAUGAAAACGAUGGUGAUGAAGAUGGUGAUGAAGAUG
rnacentral:lncRNA from 1 species